ACGGGAGGCAGCAGUGGGGGAUAUUGCACAAUGGGGGAAACCCUGAUGCAGCGACGCCGCGUGAGUGAUGAAGUAUUUCGGUACGUAAAGCUCUAUCAGCAGGGAAGAAAAUGACGGUACCUGACUAAGAAGCUCCGGCUAAAUACGUGCCAGCAGCCGCGGUAAUACGUAUGGAGCAAGCGUUAUCCGGAUUUACUGGGUGUAAAGGGAGCGUAGACGGUGACGCAAGUCUGAAGUGAAAGGUGUGGGCUCAACCCGCAAACUGCUUUGGAAACUGUGUGACUAGAGUGUCGGAGAGGUUAGUGGAAUUCCUAGUGUAGCGGUGAAAUGCGUAGAUAUUAGGAGGAACACCAGUGGCGAAGGCGGCUUACUGGACGAUAACUGACGUUGAGGCUCGAAAGCGUGGGGAGCAAACAGGAUUAGAUACCCUGGUA
rnacentral:rRNA from 1 species